UCCGAUAUGAGCCGGGUUUUCCCCAGGAAUCGCUUCCUGGGGCCGCGAAUAGGUCACGGCACGAGCUGACGACAGCCAUGCACCACCUGUCAGGGGCCCUUACGGACACUGCAUCUCUGCAGCUUUUCCCCUGAUGUCAAACCCAGGUAAGGUUCUUCGCGUUGCCUCGAAUUAAGCCACAUGCUCCGCCGCUUGUGCGGGUCCCCGUCAAUUCCUUUGAGUUUUAGCCUUGCGGCCGUACUCCCCAGGCGGGGUGCUUAAUGCGUUAGCUGCGGCACGGAUCGCGUCGAUAGCGACCCACACCUAGCACCCAUCGUUUACGGCGUGGACUAC
rnacentral:misc_RNA from 1 species